UUAUGGAAUUAACACUGCCAAGCAGUCUUCAACCAAAUACACCCCAUACUUCCUCUUGUUCCACCGUCACCCACGUCUGCCCGAGAUAAUGAAUACCUGUCCAAUGGGAGACAACUUUGAGGUUGGUGAUGCAGAGGAUGAAAUCGAUAAACAGCUGACUGAAGUACACAAUCUUAAUACCAAGGUUCUUCAAAAUAUUGAAAUGGCACAGGAAAGACAGCAAAGGACUUUUGGAGACCGGAAACGCAAAUUUACCCGUGUCGCAACUGUUGAGGCUGGGGAUGAAUGUCUGAUUUCAGGGGCUUCAAAAAGGCCACGUACAGGGGACACAUUGACCAGCCAGCACAGAGGACCUUACAAGAUUGGAAACAUUACAAAAAAG